rnacentral:lncRNA from 1 species
GAAACUUAUUUUUUGACUACUGUGUAAAUCAGCAAAUGCCUUAAAACUUCGUGUUGUUGACCAAUACUAACCAAAUUAUUGAGUGAAGGAUUUAAUUUUGAUAGCCGACUCUCCUUGAUCUGCAGAAACAAGAACUUUACCAUAGUUGUAACACUUCCAAAAUAUAAGAAAGGGGUUUUGAUCAUUCUUGAGCAACAGGAUAGAAAAAUUAUUUUGCUUAGUUGUUUUUCUUUAACCAGCUUUUUUUGCGUUGCCUUUAUUUUCAUCAUUCUAUCGAAUGGAAAUGGUUUUA